rnacentral:lncRNA from 1 species
CUUUGCGUCUCAAGCUUCUGCCUCCAAUCAACCCCAGAGUACUUAGGAUCAAACUCAUUCAGCGCAUUCAGAGUCAAGAAUGAUCUCUGAUUGUUCACUUCCACCACGCUCUGCACUUCACAUCGCGCCACCAAAAAGGUAUCAUUAUCCAACUUCCUAGCGCAUUCAGAGUCAAGAACGAUCUCUGAUUGUUCACUUCCACCACACUCUGCACUUCACAUCGCGCCACCAAAAAGGUAUCAUCAUCCAACUUCCACCUCCUGUACCUGUAACCAACAGACGCCACCUCUUCCCCUUCAGUCGCAAACGGGUUAGGCUCAUCAUAAUUCAACUUCUUCCCAUCUCUUAUCAGAACCUGUUGCGAGAAAUUCUGAUU